rnacentral:rRNA from 1 species
CCCUUAGAUGUUCUGGGCCGCACGCGCGCUACACUGAUGCAUUCAACGAGCCUAUCCUUGACCGACAGGUCCGGGUAAUCUUUGAAUCUGCAUCGUGACGGGGAUAGAUUAUUGCAAUUAUUAAUCUUCAACGAGGAAUGCCUAGUAGGCGCAAGUCAUCAGCUUGCGUCGAUUACGUUCCUGCCCUUUGUACACACCGCCCGUCGCUCCUACCGAUUGGGUGUGCUGGUGAAAUGUUCGGAUCGGCCGUUUGUCGCGGUUUCCGCGUCAUGUGGCUGAGAAGUUCAUUAAACCCUCCCACCUAGAGGAAGGAGAAGUCGUAACA